GAUGAACGCUGGCGGCGUGCCUAAUACAUGCAAGUCGAACGAACAGACGAUGAGCUCGCUCUCCUGACGUUAGCGGGGGACGGGUGAGUAACGCGUGCAUAACCUUCUUAUAAGACUUGGAUGAUAUCGUAAAACCGGUGCCAAUACCAGAUAAUAUAAUCUACCGCAUGGUUCAAUAGUUAAUCACGGUUUUGCCGGUACUCAUAGAUGGAUUCGCGCCGGAUUAGCUAGUUGGUAAGGUAACGGCUUAACGAGGCUACGAUGCGUAGCCGACCUGAGAGGCUGAUCGGCCACACUGGAACUGAGACACGGUCCAGACUCCUACGGGAGGCAGCAGUGGGGAAUCUUGGGCAAAGGGCGAAAGCCUGACGAAGCAAUGCCGCGUGAGUGAUGAAGGUGUUCGGAUUGUAAAGCUCUGUUAUUAGGGAAGAACAGAUGUUUACUUAACGAUGCAUGUCCUGACGGUACCUAAUGAGAAAGCCACGGCUAACUUCGUG
rnacentral:rRNA from 1 species